rnacentral:pre_miRNA from 1 species
CUUUUUCUAUUAAAUGCAGGGGCAAAAUGAUAUUUUUAUAUUAAAACUAAAAAAAUGAAUAAAAAAAUCAUACCUUUAAAAUAACAAUAAAAGAAAAUCAAAUUAAAAAAACAAUAAUAAAGUUUUUGGGGAGUAGAAAUCGAGAUAGAAGGGGGAGAGAGAGUUUAAUUUUAAUUUUUUAGUUUUUUAAUUUUUAAUUUUUUAAUUCAUAUUUUAAUCAAUUUAAUAUAAAAAUACCAUUUUGCCCUUGCAUUUAACAAAAUUGA